GAAGGAGCAAACAAUACUGGAUCAUAAUGGGAGAAAAGACUGUGAAGUGGAAGACAAUUUGAUGAGGGACAAUCAGAAUGAUGGAGAAGUUGCAAGUGAAGUUAUUGUACAAACUAAGACAAAAAGAGCAACCAGGUCAUCGGACAAGCUUAAUUUUACAAACACUUCUACAAGCAUUGCAGAGGAGCAAACAGUACUUGAUCAUCAUGUGAUAAAAGACUAUGAAGUAGAAGACAAUUUGAUGAGGGACAGUCAGAAUGAUGGUGAAAUUGCAAGUGAAGUUAUUGUGAAAAAGAAGACAAAAAGAGCAACAAGGUCAU
rnacentral:misc_RNA from 1 species